rnacentral:tRNA from 1 species
GGAAAUGUGGCUUAGUGGUAAAGUGCUUGUCUCCCACACAUGAAGCCCUGGGUUCGAUUCCUCAGUACCA